rnacentral:rRNA from 1 species
UGGGGAAUAUUGCGCAAUGGGCGAAAGCCUGACGCAGCGACGCCGCGUGAGGGAUGAAGGUUUUCGGAUCGUAAACCUCUGUCAGAAGGGAAGAAACCGCACUGUGCUAAUCAGCAGUGCCUUGACGGUACCUUCAAAGGAAGCACCGGCUAACUCCGUGCCAGCAGCCGCGGUAAUACGGAGGGUGCAAGCGUUAAUCGGAAUUACUGGGCGUAAAGCGCACGUAGGCUGCUUUGUAAGUCAGGGGUGAAAUCCCACGGCUCAACCGUGGAACUGCCUUUGAUACUGCUUAGCUUGAAUCCGGGAGGGGGUGGCGGAAUUCCAGGUGUAGGAGUGAAAUCCGUGGAUAUCUGGAGGAACAUCAGUGGCGAAGGCGGCCACCUGGACCGGUAUUGACGCUGAGGUGCGAAAGCGUGGGGAGCAAACAGG